rnacentral:rRNA from 1 species
UACGGGGGGAGCAAACGUUGUUCGGAUUUACUGGGCGUAAAGGGCGCGUAGGCGGCCGCCGCAAGUCAGUUGUGAAAUCUCCGAGCUUAACUCGGAAAGGUCAACUGAUACUGCGGGGCUAGAGUGCGGAAGGGGCAACUGGAAUUCUUGGUGUAGCGGUGAAAUGCGUAGAUAUCAAGAGGAACACCUGCGGCGAAGGCGGGUUGCUGGGCCGACACUGACGCUGAGGCGCGAAAGCUAGGGGAGCGAACGGG